AUAAUUUAUAGUUCUUGGUUUGAGAAAUGUCUUUCUAAAGUGUUUGGUCUUGCUAUCCACGGUGAUGAGAUUGAGUACUCCUUUCUGAGCGCGAAGCGGGCCGUGAUCGAAGAGUUUACUCUUCUGAUGUCUGCUUUUGAUGACCCUUCCUUGUUUCCCCUGGGGAUUUGGAGGAACGGAGUAUAAUCAGAGUGGUAAUAGUUUUAUGUACUUGUGAACGUUAAUAAUAAAUCGAAGUAGGUAACGUAGAUCUCAAUUUUUAUAAUUUGUUUAAUAAUUGUGACCGCACCCCACCUUUGACAUACUUCACAAGCGACAAUUAAAAUAAGCAACAGAAGUAUACAUUUGUCUGUACAUAAAAUCUACAUUGUUCAGAAAGACUGCAAUACGUGUUUUUCGUGAUUGUUACAAUUGUACCAUACAAAUACAUAUUAACAAAAUAGAUAUGAAGUGCUACAACAAAGGCUUGUAUAGCCUAGUAGUGAAUUCAUAGCUACAUCUUAUUGAGCAAAAGAGGCGGCGUUUUACGCCACCUGCCAAGUACACCCGCUCGACAAGAAGCGGCUCAACUCGUGCAUGUGCUACUGAGCUUGCUGAACAGACUGGAGUCUGGAGAAGUACUCAGGACCGCUUUCUUCUCGUCUUCAAAAGCAUCGGGAAGGAACUGCGUGCCCUUGUGUCAGUGAUUGACGUGAGGAAGUUUAUUCUGUUUUUUUUAGGAUCGACAGAAGCAUUAGACCAGGCUAUUCAUUCUGACUAGUGCACGGAUUCUACCUUCAAUACCGGACCACGACUGAGGAUUUAAAUAUUUUAAAAUGUAUUUAAAUAUGUAGAAGAAGACUGCUGGCAGACAACCGGUCCUAAACGGCACUAUUCAUUUUAAACCAUCUGCGCUUUUGUCUGGAAUGGAAAAGUGUCGUUUGAAAGCCUUGCUAAUCUAUGCUGAACUCAUCCCGUCCGUGAAAAUAUGAAAUAUAAAUAAUGUUUAACAUUGCUACAGAUGGGGAAACGUCCAGACCAUUCUCUAAGAAUUUAGAAGACUUUGAUUCCAUACGCAGUGUGCUUCUAUACAGCGACCUAGAGCCAGAAUGGCUGGACGACGUCCAGAAGAACGGCGAGCUCUUCUACCUGGAACUGAGCGAGGGCGAGGAAGCGGCGGCAUUGGCUCAGGCAGCCGCCAAUCACGUCCUCUCCACCAAUCACGUCCGCUUCAGCGAGAAGGAAGCGGAAAUCAUCAGCGACAAGUCCAGGAAGCUUCCUGAUGGUGCUCCAACCAAAGGAGAGCCCACGCUAAAAAGACUGUCCAGGAUCCUUAGGAGGAAGCGGCGACCAUCCCAGAGCAGAGGGCCCGACGGAGGAGGCGAAGACUCGUCAUCUCGACCAGUAUCCAUCUUGAAAAACCAGGCGGGGCAGAGGGUGGGGGUGAUGGUCCAGCAGCUGAAGGACGUGUUUCUCUACCUGAACCCCAAACGCCUGGGGAGCUGCUCCCCUCCUCCCCCGGAGAGAGGGGGUCUACUGGAGGCCCUUCUGGGGGUGGUGCAUCGCCCGUCCUGGGGCAGGGGCCAGGGAGACCCCGCAGGGAGGAGGGAGGAGAGGAUCACUGUCCACGGCCUGGUGCCCAACAGCCCGGCCGUCAAGUGUGCACAGAUACUGAUCGGUGACAACCUGGUAGCAGUAGACGAUGUCGAUGUUACCACAGAGAACAUUGAGAGGGUUCUGUCCUGCAUCCCUGGUCCUACCCAGGUGAAGCUGACCCUGGAGACAGCCAGUCCAGGAGGACCAGGGGAGGGAGGUGUGGACGUGUCCUCUGCUCCCAGGCUCAGGACCUCUCCUUCAGUCAGCCAGCUGGUGCGUCUGCUGUGGGGCGAGGACACGGUGGAGCUCCAGAUGUCUAUAGGACACAUCCCUCACAUUGUCAUGUACCUGUCACUCAAACUGGACUCAGACUCCCCCCUGGAAGAGCAGGAGAUCCUGUACCAGUACCCAGUGUCUGCGGCGUCCAGCCAGCUGAAGGGAGUCAGAGGGAUCUUUCUCACUCUGUCUGACAUGCUGGAGAAUGUCACUGGAGGACAGAUAGUCAGCUCCUCUCUUCUGCUCAGUAAACAGCUGGUCCAUGUGGGCUACUGGAAGGAGAGCAACAACCUGCUGGUGAUCGCCCUGCCUGCUGAGAGGGUUCCUCUGUUGUAUCUGCAGACGGUAGUGGGAGGUGCAGUGAGGACUCUCAAGGUGAUGCACGGCUCUCUGGACAGUGCAUUCUGCCAGGCGGACCACGCCCCCAGGCUGGACCAUUUCUUCUGCCUGUUCUUCCAGCAGCUCAUCCAGCCUUCCAGGUUGAGUGACAGCUCCGGGGCCACGCCCCCUGACCUAUCGGGGUCUCUCUUCCUGGACGGACUGCCAGCGGUCCGUUGGCUCCCUCUGCCCCCUGAGAUAAAGAUGGAGGUGGACACCGUUCUCUCAGACUUUGAAUCAUCAGAUUUCGGAGAAAUGUCAGAGGACUUCUAUGGCACGAGGCGUCUCUACGUGACACUGGGUUCCUGUCUGUUCUACAAGGGCUAUCUGAUAGCGAACCACCUCCCCAAGGAGGACCUGCUUGACGUCUCUCUCUACUGCCAGCACUACUGUCUCCUCCCCCUGGCUUCAGAGCAGCGCGUGGGCCAGCUGGUUAUCUGGAGAGAGGUGUUCCCUCACCACCGCUCACAGAUCCACCAGACCAAGAAGUACAAGACCAUUAACAAGCACUGUACCACGCCUGGCUACUGCCAGCCCAAGGGACGCUACUUCCUACUCAUAGUGGGACUGAGGCACUUCAUGCAGUGUGUUCUCCUGGAGGCUGGUGGCUGUGCGGCCCCUGUCACGGGGGCCCCAGGGCCCGACUGUGUGUACGUGGACCAGGUCAAGGCUACCCUCCUACAGCUGGAGGAGCUGGACGUAGGGAUGGAGGAACGCCUGGCCGCCCCGCCUGCCCCCUGCCUCUCCUGUGCUGACUGGUUCCUCCCCUCCUUCGCCCAUGACAGGUUAGACACCCUGGCUGCCUCGUCUCCUGUCCUCAGCAAGCUGGCCGGGGGCGUGAAGCCGCCCUCCUCGGCCCAGGGAGUAGGAAAGGUGGUGGGCUGGAGCCUGUUUGGAGGAGGCGCUCGGAGACCUAGCCCCCAGAGGAGUCAGUCAGACAGCGGGAGCGAGGGACAGUCGGACGGGGGUGUAGGAAGGCCGACUGGACUCAGUCCGCACUCCGCCCCGGACUCGGCCCGGAAGCUGGUCGGCCAGAGAGACUCGCUGGGUUCUGGAGGAUCUGAUGGGAGUCGAGGCAGUGGGAGCAUUUUCAAGAUUUCCAGGAUGAAGCAUCCUAACCCGUUCUACCUGGGCACCCUGGAGAAGAGUCUGACUGAGAGAGAGACAGAGGAGAAGUACAACACUAUGAAGUUGACGUCUGGGGCGGAGAACACUCUGUUCCACUAUGUGCUGAUGGAGAAGGUGCAGGGGAUCUUCAUCGCUCCUACACACAGGGAACUGGCCCAGUUCAGCGGCUCCAUCCACCCUCAGCUCAUUCGCAACUUCCACCACUGCUGCCUCUCCAUACGGGCUGCCUUCCAGCGGAGUCUGCCGCCCAGGACCUCUCUCUGUGUGAGUAGGGCAGGCCGGGUGCAGACAGACCCCAGGGGACCCAUGGGCUGGGCCCAGUGAAGGAACACGGGGUUCUGUUCCAGUGUAAACCUGAGAACUGGACCGACCAGAGGAAGCCGGCUCCCACCAUGACCUACUGGGUUAUAGGCCGGAUGCUUCUAGAACCCGUCCCUCAGGAAUUCUACGUGUGUUUCCAUGACUCUGUGGCAGAGGUUCCCGUGGAGAUGGCCUUCCGCCUGUCUUUCGGCCUGGCCUUGUGACGAGCCGUCUGCCAACAGUCUCUUAUGAACUCUGGUAACACUACUACCUAUCGGCAGACAGACAACAGCAGCGCACAACCCUGUUCAUUAGGCACCAAACAGAAGAAAACAGUCAGGGAGAGAGUACAUAAACACCAAUAAGAAACACUUGUUCACGUUUCUAUCACAAAAUAUUUUGCUACGGUUUUCCCUAAUGAACACAACCCUGGUCUUAAAGGUUUCACAGUUGACCUCAACGCCUGCUUCCUGUCAGUCUGAGAUAUUCUGGGAUCUAAGAGUCCCUCUUGUGCCUUGAUCACCUGACAGGCAGGUAAAAGGAAACCUCGCAGACCAAGGUUGUUCUCUGUUAGCCUUGGAUCAGCUCCAGUGGAACAGGACUGCAUUCAGAUAGAAAUGUUACGUGGAACAAACAUGAGGAAUAAGGAAUCACGUCAGCUCUGUUCAUGACAUUUCUAUCUGUAACAUCCCACUACGCUUGCCUACUAAACAGGUUUUGGGGCGGCAGCUAACCUAGUGGUUAGAGCGUUGGGCCAGUAACCCGAAAGGUUGCUGGAUUGAAUCCCCGAGCUGACAAGGUAAAAAAUCUGUCAUUCUGCCCCUGAACAAGGCAAUUAACCCACUGUUCUCCUGGUAGGCUGUCAUUGGAAAUAAGAAUUUGUUCUUAACGGACUUGCCACCAUGUUGUGUCCAAAAUGGCUCCCAGCUCCCUAUGUAAUGAAUAGAUUCUGACUCUGGGUGUGUGGAAGGACAAGCCACUAAAAACUGAGUAAUAAUACCUCAGAAAACAUGCUGGAUUUUAUUUUUUUAACAGGUAGAUGUGAGUUUGCAGGGAAAGCAUUGUUCUGCUGUUCUGGUCAUAGCAAUAUCUCAUUCUAGUUCUGUGGGUCUGACAUUCCUGUUAGCUAAAGUGUGCCAGACCAAAUAAUAUGGGAAAAGUCUAAACAGCAUUCUUGGGACAUACCAACUCUUACGUCAUGCCAUUGCAGUUGAAAUGUAAAACGCUAAGGGUUAAGGUUCGGAACGUCCCAAGGAUCCCAAACAGCACUGACCAAAUAAUGACUGUUCUUGCCUGCUAUCUUCUCCACAUUACCUAAGGCUGUGUUGCCAUGCCAGAGUUCUAUUCAUGUUGCUGUUUUGGAGGAAGAUAAAUGUGUUAUGGUAUUUUAUUUAAGAUGUACAGUAUUUUGUAUGGAAAUGUAAUAAUUUGUGAUAAUUAAAAGAAACAUUUGUUUCCUCUGGGU